CCGUAGGGAAACCAUUAAGUACCCCGCCUGGGGAGUACGGCCGCAAGGUUGANACUCAAAGGAAUUGACGGGGGCCCGCACAAGCGGUGGAGCAUGUGGUUUAACUCGACGCAACGCGAAGAACCUUACCUGGGUUUGACAUGUUAGUGGUAAGGACCCGAAAGGGCGAUGACCUUGGGGUAACUCAAGGAGCUAACACAGGUGCUGCAUGGCUGUCGUCAGCUCGUGCCGUGAGAUGUUGGGUUAAGUCCCGCAACGAGCGCAACCCCUGUCGUAUGUUGNCAGCAUUAAGUUGGNGACUCAUACGAGACUGNCGGCGUCAAGCCGGAGGAAGGUG
rnacentral:rRNA from 1 species